rnacentral:rRNA from 1 species
GAUUAACGCUGGCGGCGUGCCUAACACAUGCAAGUCGAACGAGGUAGCAAUACCUAGUGGCAGACGGGUGAGUAACACGUGGCCAACCUACCGCCGAGUGGGGGAUAACUAGCCGAAGGUUAGCUAAUACCGCAUGAUACGAACCGGGGCGAUCCCGGAACGUUGAAAGGAGCAAUCCGCUCGAUGACGGGGCCGCGCCCGAUUAGCUAGUUGGUGGGGGUAAUGGCCUACCAAGGCUCCGAUCGGAGCUGGUUUGAGAGAGCGACCAGCCACACUGGGACUGAGAAACGGCCCAGACUCCUACGGGAGGCAGCAGUGAGGAAUUUUCCGCAAUGGGCGAAAGCCUGACGGAGCGACGCCGCGUGUGGGAAGAAGGCC